rnacentral:rRNA from 1 species
UACGUAGGGGGCAAGCGUUGUCCGGAAUUAUUGGGCGUAAAGAGCGCGUAGGCGGUCCGGUAAGUCGGUUGUGAAAGUCGGGGGCUCAACCCUCGGAUGCCGAUCGAUACUGUCGGGCUAGAGUCCGGAAGACGGCGAGUGGAAAUUCCGUGGUGUAGCGGUGAAAUGCGCAGAGUAUCAGGAGGAACACCAAUGGCGAAGGCAGCUCGCUGGGACGGUACUGACGCUGAGGCGCGAAAGCGUGGGGAGCAAACAGG